rnacentral:lncRNA from 1 species
AGAGAUGGGGUCUCACCAUGGUGGUCUGAAACUCCUAGACUCAAGGGAUCCUCCUGCCUUGGCCUCCCAAAGUCCUGAGGUUACAGGACUUCCAACACUAUGUUGAAUAGGAGUGGUGAAAGAGAGCAUCCCUGUCUUGUGCCAGAAGAACCUCUUCAGGGAGAACUACAAACCACUGCUCAAUGAAAUAAAAGAGGACACAAACAAAUGGAAGAACAUUC